ACGGGAGGCAGCAGUGGGGAAUAUUGCACAAUGGGGGAAACCCUGAUGCAGCGACGCCGCGUGAAGGAAGAAGUAUCUCGGUAUGUAAACUUCUAUCAGCAGGGAAGAUAAUGACGGUACCUGACUAAGAAGCCCCGGCUAACUACGUGCCAGCAGCCGCGGUAAUACGUAGGGGGCAAGCGUUAUCCGGAUUUACUGGGUGUAAAGGGAGCGUAGACGGACUGGCAAGUCUGGUGUGAAAGGCAUGGGCUCAACCUGUGGACUGCACUGGAAACUGUCAAUCUUGAGUGCCGGAGGGGUAAGCGGAAUUCCUAGUGUAGCGGUGAAAUGCGUAGAUAUUAGGAGGAACACCAGUGGCGAAGGCGACUAACUGGACUGUAACUGACGCUGAGGCGCGAAAGUGUGGGGAGCAAACAGGAUUAGAUACCCUGGUA
rnacentral:rRNA from 1 species